rnacentral:lncRNA from 1 species
GUGUGAUAAGUAGCACCAGUAUCAAGGGCCCAAAAACUCUGUCCAUGAUCUAAACUCACAGAUAAAAUUUUUUCAGCACUAUCACUAUCAUCAGAAUUAUUAAACAUGUCCACGACAUUCGCAGAGCUCUCUGAUUGCUUCUCCUUUUAUUUUUCAACUUAGGAUAAUCUCUCCUAUGGUGUCCCUGCUCUCCACACUCAAAACAGUUGUCUUUUUCAUUCUAGAUUUUGAUCUAGCCUUAGAUUUUUUUUUGUUUGAAGAACCCUCCCUUGACUAUGUUCUUCUCUUGCUCACCAAACCCUCUCCCUC